rnacentral:rRNA from 1 species
CACGGAGGGUGCAAGCGUUAUCCGGAUUCACUGGGUUAAAGGGUGCGUAGGUGGGCAAGUAAGUCAGUGGUGAAAUCUCCGGGCUUAACCCGGAAACUGCCAUUGAUACUAUUUGUCUUGAAUACUGUGGAGGUCAGCGGAAUAUGUCAUGUAGCGGUGAAAUGCUUAGAUAUGACAUAGAACACCAAUUGCGAAGGCAGCUGGCUACACAAAUAUUGACACUGAGGCACGAAAGCGUGGGGAUCAAACAGG